UACGUAGGGUGCAAGCGUUGUCCGGAAUUAUUGGGCGUAAAGAGCUCGUAGGCGGUCUGUCGCGUCGGAUGUGAAAAUCCAGGGCUCAACCCUGGACCUGCAUUCGAUACGGGCAGACUAGAGUUCGGUAGGGGAGACUGGAAUUCCUGGUGUAGCGGUGAAAUGCGCAGAUAUCAGGAGGAACACCGGUGGCGAAGGCGGGUCUUUGGGCCGAAACUGACGCUGAGGAGCGAAAGCGUGGGGAGCAAACAGG
rnacentral:rRNA from 1 species